AAGUGGGCCCCGCGAUGCGUUUAGUGGGACCGUCGUUGACGAGGUUGACUGUUGGACCCACUUAAGUACACGUCACUUUCACGGGCCGGAGACGACGCAUAUCGCGUCACCAACGUGAUCCCGCCGGAUAACAACAAGGGAACGAAGCUUCGACGGCGCUACUCCUACCCCACCAUCGGUUUUCCCUUCUUUUCCUUUUUUUUUCUCAGCAACUCGAGUUCACCUUCGGGUCUCCACUACUUGCCGGCGUUGGGCUCUCCGCAGCUACUCCCCCAAUUUCUCCCCGGAACCCUAAUAAAAUCCCCCAAACUCCUCGCUCUCGACUCCUCCGUCGAAUCCAUUCCCUCAAGUACUCUUCUCUCUCCGUCCCUCUUCCCCCUCUCCUUCCAUCAAUCUAGGGUCGAGGUUUGGUUCCGAUCCAUCUGGACCAUCUCCUUCGGUGGGCGAAGCAUGGAUUCUGGGAGGCGGAUUGAUGUCAAUCUCCCUCCGGCGGAGAAUUCAACCCAAGAAACUUCAGGCAUCGAUGUCGGCCUCCCUCCGGGGGUGCAUUCGUCUCCAGAAAUGGAAAGAAUCGAUGUCGAUCUUGCGGAAGGGGUGAAUCUGCCCCAAGAGGUGGGAGGAAUCGAUGUCGAUCUUGCGGCAGCGGUGAAUCUGCCCCAAGAGGUGGGAGGAAUCGAUGUUUAUCUCCUUCCAGACAUGAAUUUUUUCGAUGGAAACCCCCUUCCGGUGAUGAAUUUUUCGGAAGAAAUGGGAGGGUUUGAUGACUAUUUUCCUCGAGCGGUGAAUUUUCCCCAGGAGAUGGAAAGGUUCGAUAUAAAUCUUCCUGUGAUGGUGAAUUCAUCUCCGGAGGCGGCAGGAGGAGGAGCGUUCGGCGAUCCUCUUGGUCUCUCGUUGUCAUUCAAUCCCUGCCCUGGAGCUGGAACUGAAGAUGCCCCGAGAAGAAUUGAAGUAAUUGAUGUGGAAUCCAGUGGAGAUGAGCAUGCUGCGGUUCCGAUGGAUGUCGACGUCGAAAUCUUUAAUGGAGCUGUCGAUCUAAUGACGCUCAUAGAGAGUCCAAGGACGGUAUGUGGUAUGGAGGAGAACGGUGAGGAGGAAUGGAUUGUGAAAGACGAUUGGCCGUCUUUCAGCAUUGAUCAAUUUGCUGAGAGCAACGUCGAUAAAAGCAAGAAAACAUUGCAUCCAUUGCAGAAUAGAACUGAAGAAUACUGGCCCUCAAAGGCUUGGAUGGAUUGGUGUCAGCAUCGAAGAGACCGAGACAGGAGUAUAGCGGUUGAUCUAGCUCCCAAAUUUGCCGUAUAUAGAGAUGUAUCUGGGGAUAAAGAAGAUGAGCCUGGAGCUUUAUCAUCGGAUGUUGAGCAGGAAGGGCAAGACUUGCCAGGGCCAUUCUCUGAUGCCAUGAAAAUUGUCGAGCAACGAGUGUUAUCCAGAAAGACUGAGCCUCGAGAAGCAGACAUUCUGUGGAAACCUUCAAAUGAUGGAAAGCGCAAGCUGUUGGCUCCAUCCCUGAAAGAUCUUAGCUUGAAGGUUCUUUCCAAAUACAGUGAGGAGAUCCCAUCUCUUGAAGGAAUUUAUGAUCCAGUGAAGCACUCGAUUGUCUCGGUGCUGUGCAGAUAUGGGACAAUGAAUGCUCAUGUUCUUGGUCUCUACUUGGAUGAAUCUUCCACAGAAAUACACUUAAGCAAUUGUUGUUGGGCAACAGAGGAGCAGCUUGAGAAGGCCCUCGCUGCAUGUAAAAUCGAUCAGCUGACGGUGGUGCAACUUGACAUCUGUGGGCGAUGUAUGACUGAUUAUGUAUUGGAAGCCAUGUUAGCAAAGGCACCAAAUAGUUUGCCAUCAUUAACUAGGAUAUCUCUGAAGGGUGCAUGUCGUCUUUCAGAUGAUGGAUUAACUGCGCUUGUUUCUUCGGCACCUUUGUUAAGUUCCAUAAAUUUGGGCCAAUGUACCCUUAUCACUACAGAUGGAGUCAUCAACCUAGCUGAUAAGUUGAAAUCAGUAUUGAGAGAACUGUACAUUGAUGAUUGUCAUAAUAUAGAUGUUAUGCUGAUUCUUCCUGCAUUGAAGAAGUUAGAGAAUCUAGAAGUUUUGUCAGUAGCAGGUAUACCAAAUGUUUGUGAUGCUUUUGUCCGCAAACUCCUGCCUGUUUGUGGUCGGAACAUGAAGAAGCUCGCCUUUGCUGAUUGUCGAGAAUUGACUAAUGCUGCCAUGAGAGCUAUUGGGGCAUAUUGUCAUCAGUUGUGUGCUCUCGAUCUCCGGAAGCUGCACCGUUUGAAUGAUACUACAAUGAAAUACCUAGCUGAUGGUUGUAGAUCAAUUACAAAACUCAAGCUUUGUGGCAACACAUUCAGAUGAUAUUAUCUUGAUGUAAGGCCAGUUAUGUAGAACAUGGUGCUCCCUAUAUGGUAUGCCAGAAGUUGUUGUCACUCAAAAAAGAUACUGACUUUAAUUUGUGCAUCCUAUAUAUGUAUGUAUGCACGUAAGCAAGCAUGUCUAUUGGCCAUCUGUAUUUUAUCACUAGCACACUGUUUUACCUUUAGAACCUCCAAUCGAAGAAAUUUAUUUUUUCCCUCAUAUUCCUUGGUAAACUAGCUUGGUAAAUUGCCUGCAAAACAUAAAGGUAAGGUAGAUUGCCAAUGGGUCUUAGACUUAGGUCAGCUGAUUGGCACCCACUCCUGGUGGAAGAGGUUCAGGUUCAAACCUGGAAGGUGACAUUCCUGCCAUGUCUCUUAAAAAAAAGGAGAAAAAAAAAGUAAGGAAUAUUAAGUGGUCUGAAAGGAGAUUGAUUUUUCAGUGGCUAUUUCUAUUUCAUUUGUAAUAGGUUGCUUUUCACUAUCAUUAGUAAUGAUAGGUCAAUAAGGCGGGAAAAGCAAAAUUGAGACAAUAUAUGAAUUCAUAAAAUUCCAUGGCGCUACUCAAUGUACAUCCUCCCUACUAGACUAGACAUUGAACAACAUCAUUGAGCUUAAAAGCCCCGAAACUCAAUCCAAAAUGCGAACCAAAAAUCUAUUGACAGUUGACAGAAACAGAAUUACCUUAUGUCUUUUGUGCUUCCUCCUCAGAUCUAAUUAUUUAUUGUCUUAAAAAGUUUGCUAGCUUACCUUUGUGCUUAGAGCAACACUAGUCCAUCACAGUAGAAAAGAGCAGGGGUUGUUAGAUAGCAUGCAGCAAAUUUCUUGGUCUGCAUGCAUUUAGUAUCCCAAACAAGUAGCAUUUAUCAUGAAUGUGAUGACAAGAAGUUUAUCCUCAUGCAAAAUUUUUAUCUUAUGGUCUGCCAUUAUUGCAAAGAUUGGAAAAUGUUAAGACCAUUAUUACAAUUAGGAGGUUUAGAUGUUCCUGGGACCUUUUGGCUUCUAAAUCAGUUCUUUUUACCUAUUGUAGCAUCCCCUUUUUACAGAAUAUGUGUUGUAUCUUGGAUAGGAAGGAUUGAUCCAAAGAUCAUUUACAGUGGAACAUCACCAUCAAUUGAUGCAUUAUAUUGUCAUGAUUGUGUUGAUCAAUUUGAAGUAUAGACUUUUUUGCUUUUGUUGAUGUAAUUUAUGAUGCAGUUAAGUACUUUCCAACAAAAUGUACUCUUGAGUAUUUACAGUAGUAUAUUAUUCAGCAUAUAUAUUAACAUAUGCAUUAUCUUUUUAAUUGUAUUUGUGUUGUUUUUUGGGUAUUGAAAUUUUUAAUCGCUUUGGGGCACCACAAGACUUGCCAUGUCCAAUUAACGCCAGUUGUGAUUGGCAUUAUUCAUUUUCAUUUAUGGUUUCACUGCAUAUGUGAGAAUUUAUCAUUGCAUUCUUAAAGAAUCUUGCUUGUGACAGAAUAAUUUUUGCCUCGUUGUUUCAGCAUCUCGCCACCUAGUGUUUUCUGUUCUAUAUCAAUCCCCUAUGUACUCCUUUCUUAACUGGUUCAGUUAAUGAUUGAUAAGUUGAAAGGCAAUUGUAUGACUUCCUUUUUCUGCGAUAUUCUCAUUAUUGCUUGUGUUUUUGAUCUCUCAAUUGUAUGUGUAUCUUUGGUAGAAUUACAAAGGUUGAGGUCUAGCUAAUGAUUAUCAAUUGAUAUGUUGUUUAUCAUAGCAAAAUAGAAUUAUGUAACCGCUUUAAAAGACUAAUUCUCAGGCUCAACAUGUUAUACAUCUUUUUAUAAAUCUAUGUGAUCUUGCAAGUACUUUAAUAUGCCCUGAAUACCUUAGAUAAAUACCCUUUCAGCUGUUUAUCUUGACCUAUCAAUGCCUGAAGUUGGGCUUGAGCUUCUAAAACUUGUUGACAAUGUCCUUUAACUAUAUAUGAGAUAUUCAUGUUGAUGCUAAUGAUGCUUAUCAUGUGUUUCUUCCUUUUUUUUCUAUUUUAUUAUUUCCUGUUUUUAUUACCGUAAUGCUUGCCCUUCUUUACAAUCUACCUUGCUUCUAUUUUUCUCAGUUACCAUACAACAUACUGACAUGAGUCCUGAGGCCAGGGCAUAACAUUAAAGAUGGUUUGGGAAUUUGAUUUCAUUUUUCCCCCCCUUCUUCCUGCCAAAGAAAUGGGAGCCACUUUAUCAUAACCAGCCAGUUAAUCUUAAAUGGUUCUGAGAUACUAUUUGAAUAUAUCAUAUAUAGGAUCCUUUACACAUUAUUUUGCCUUUUUCUUUUUCUUAAGCUAGCUAAUUUCUAAUUUUGCCACAUAAAAUUGUCUUUCAUGUGACAUUUAUUUGCAGACUGCUUCAUAUUAUUGUAUAUCUGGUCCACUUGAUGCUAACUUUGUUUGCAUCCUUAGUUUUCCCAGUCUAACUAUAAAAUGUAUUUAGUCAUUCACUUCUACACCUUGCAUUGUGUGGGGUAUUAGUGGGUCUGCAACACAUUGAUGAUGUUUGAGUUUUGUCAGGAGUGCUCAUUGUGGCAAGUAAUUGUCACUUACUCUAGAACUAAUCCUCUCUCAAAUGUCAGUGACGAAGCAAUUGCUGCAUUCUUGGAAGCAUCUGGAGAGUCAUUGACUGAACUUUCACUCAAUGGUAUUAAAAAGGUUUCGCAACAAACAGCCAUAUCUAUUUCUCGCCGCUGUUAUUUGAAGUUGCAGAGUCUGGAUCUAUCCUUUUGCCGGAACAUUACGGAUGAAGCCCUUGGUUUGAUUGUUGACAGCUGCG